rnacentral:rRNA from 1 species
GAUCAUGAUAACUAGUCGAAUCGACAGGCCUUGUGCCGGCGAUGGCUCAUUCAAAUUUCUUCCCUAUCAACUUUCGAUGUUUGGGUAUUGGCCAAACAUGGUGGCAACGGGUAACGGAGGGUUAGGGCUCGACCCCGGAGAAGGAGCCUGAGAAACGGCUACUACAUCCAAGGAAGGCAGCAGGCGCGCAAAUUACCCAAUCCCGACACGGGGAGGUAGUGACAAUAAAUACUGAUACAGGGCUCUUUUGGGUCUUGUAAUCGGAAUGAGUACAAUUUAAAUCCCUUAACGAGGAACAAUUGGAGGGCAAGUCUGGUGCCAGCAGCCGCGGUAAUUCCAGCUCCAAUAGCGUAUAUUAAAGUUGUUGUGGUUAAAAAGCUCGUAGUUGAACCUUGGGCCUGGCUGGCUGGUCCGCCUCACCGCGUGCACUGGUCCGGCCGGGCCUUUCCCUCUGCGGAACCCCAUGCCCUUCACUGGGUGUGGCGGGGAACCAGGACUUUUAC